GAAGUACUCCUUCCGUCCAAAAAUACUUGUCAUCAAAAUAAAUAGGGAAUGUAUCUAGAUGUAUUUUAGCUAUAUAUAUAUAUCUCUUUUUGUCUAUUUUGAUGACAAGUAUUUUCGGACGGAGGGAGUACGAC
rfam:Triticum aestivum genome assembly, contig: Triticum_aestivum_CS42_TGACv1_scaffold_251414_3DL